UACGUAGGGUGCGAGCGUUAAUCGGAAUUACUGGGCGUAAAGCGUGCGCAGGCGGUCGGUCAAGUCGCGUGUGAAAGCCCCCGGCUCAACUGGGGAGGGUCACGCGAUACUGAUCGACUCGAAGGCAGGAGAGGGUAGUGGAAUUCCCGGUGUAGUGGUGAAAUGCGUAGAUAUCGGGAGGAACACCAGUGGCGAAGGCGACUACCUGGCCUGUUCUUGACGCUGAGGCGCGAAAGCUAGGGGAGCAAACGGG
rnacentral:rRNA from 1 species